rnacentral:rRNA from 1 species
CAGUCGCCACGGUAAUGCGAAGGGGGCUAGCGUUGCUCGGAAUGACUGGGCGUAAAGGGCGCGUAGGCGGCACAGUUAGUCAGAUGUGAAAUUCCUGGGCUUAACCUGGGGGCUGCAUUUGAGACGGCUGAGCUUGAGUUCGGAAGAGGGUCGUGGAAUUCCCAGUGUAGAGGUGAAAUUCGUAGAUAUUGGGAAGAACACCGGUGGCGAAGGCGGCGACCUGGUCCGGGACUGACGCUGAGGCGCGAAAGCGUGGGGAGCAAACAGGAUUAGAUACCCGUGUAGUCCCUGUCUCUUACAC